UGGAUCCAGACUUUGAUCAUGGCUCAGGACGAACGCUGGCGGCGUGCCUAACACAUGCAAGUCGAACGGAACUUUUUCAGAAGAUUCUUUCGGGAUGAUUUUGGUUAAGUUUAGUGGCGGACGGGUGAGUAACGCGUGAGUAACCUGCCUUUGAGAGGGGAAUAACAAUCUGAAAAGAUUGCUAAUACCGCAUAACAUAUACGAAUCGCAUGGUUUGUAUAUCAAAGAUUUUAUCGCUCAAAGAUGGACUCGCGUCCGAUUAGUUAGUUGGUGAGGUAACGGCUCACCAAGACCGCGAUCGGUAGCCGGACUGAGAGGUUGAACGGCCACAUUGGGACUGAGACACGGCCCAGACUCCUACGGGAGGCAGCAGUGGGGGAUAUUGCGCAAUGGGGGCAACCCUGACGCAGCAACGCCGCGUGAAGGAUGAAGGUUUUCGGAUUGUAAACUUCUUUUAUUAAGGACGAAUAAUGACGGUACUUAAUGAAUAAGCUCCGGCUAACUACGUGCCAGCAGCCGCGGUAAUACGUAGGGAGCAAGCGUUGUCCGGAUUUACUGGGUGUAAAGGGUGCGUAGGCGGCUUUGCAAGUCAGAUGUGAAAUCUAUGGGCACAACCCAUAAACUGCAUUUGAAACUGUAGAGCUUGAGUGAAGUAGAGGCAGGCGGAAUUCCCCGUGUAGCGGUGAAAUGCGUAGAGAUGGGGAGGAACACCAGUGGCGAAGGCGGCCUGCUGGGCUUUAACUGACGCUGAGGCACGAAAGCGUGGGUAGCAAACAGGAUUAGAUACCCUGGUAGUCCACGCUGUAAACGAUGAUUACUAGGUGUGGGGGGUCUGACCCCUUCCGUGCCGGAGUUAACACAAUAAGUAAUCCACCUGGGGAGUACGGCCGCAAGGUUGCAACUCAAAUGAAUUGACGGA
rnacentral:rRNA from 1 species